UCAAGGUCACGUCAGAGCGAAGAUGAGCCUCGAGGCUUGACAGUUAUUUUUUCAAACUGAGGAGUUCGGACUCCGGACCGUCAUUUCCGCUUGUUUGUACCCUGAGAUAACCAUGGUUAAUAAAUGGUCAGACACGUCACUGGCUUUAAAAUAUAAACCCCAUUGAUGCAAAAAGAUGCUGCAUGGAAUGACAAUGUGGUUUGGAACAGACUUGGUGAAGAACAUGGAAACAUCUCUUAAUAAAAUGGCCCCAAACAUCAUCAGGAGUGCAAAAGAAGGAAGUAAAAACAUCUCUACGCCAAUCUCAUUGGAGAGGAAACCACAGAAGGUCUGGUGAGGAAUGCUGCACUUAUGUUAUUGCAAGCAUUAUUUCAAGAAAAUCCCAGCUUCCUUUACUGUGUAAAUAGUGAACCCAAAGGUCCCACACCAACCAUAGUGUUCAACGGCUCUCCUGAUCUUUUCAAAUCUGAAUGUCGGAGAAGCGGACCGCCCCUGUCGCGGAUCACGCUCCUCCUAGUUCCACCUCGAGGAGGUCCCAAAGCACCCCAAUGACCAGACAAACCAGAGGGGGAGUAUUAUGGGGCCAGGGACGUUGGAGGGGUUUCCACGUGACUCCAGCUGGAACACCGCUACAGAGCAUAUCUGGGUGGGUUGGGCACACACCAUCGCGGCGGCCCCUGAUGGCAUCCACAAGGGUCCAAGACCCUCCUAAGCUCCUAGCCGUAGCAGAACUACGUAUUUCAGCACCCGAAGGACUAACAACCCAGCCGGCAUCUGCAGCGUAUAUCCAACGCGAUCAAACUUCACUCUGACAAGUAACUUCCUAUACACAACCACGCCGUCCUUUCGCCCGGACCAGCCCCGCACUCUUUCCGCCCGCUACCUAGCGGUCGCCGGAUCAGCAGAGCCUGCGGACUCUUCGGAGGCUGGUCUUCGUUGUGCUGCCCAAGGCGGAAGUUGACUCGCCCGAAAAUCGACCCUUCCAGUAACUUCUACCUUCUCUCUUUAUAUCCUCCUCCCAGGCGUGGCUCGUCCAAACCAUCGCUCGCCACGUCACUCACACAGCUGUGCCUUGUUUCAGUGAACCCUGAAGUGCCGGUGUCUGUACAAACCGGUCCGGGCGGAACCUCUUCACUCUCCUUUUGGUUCCGCCCCGCAUAGUCACUCCGUGACAACUGUUUGGGUUUUUUUUUCUCCUCAGUGUUCAAUACCCUUUUGCCAUUAAGCACACAGUGACUUUAAUUUAUAAAAUAUAUGCUUAAGUUUUAAUACCUGUACAAAACAAAUGUACAAUCAACUUGUGUAAAUUUUAAUAAAAAUUUAAGCUUUAAUUGCUUGUUCAUGUUAGUUCAGAGUGCAUUAACUAAUGUUAACAAGAUUUUAAUAAAGUAAUUGUUGAAAUUAACAUUAACAAAGAUUAAUAAAGGCUGUAUAAGUGCAGUUCAUUAUUAGUUCAUGUUAACUAAUGUAGCUAACUAAUGUUACCUAAUGAACCUUGUUGUAAAGUGUUACCGUGAUUUCUUUUCAUCAUUUCAGACACAUGUAAAAGUUACUAAAAAUUAAUACUGCAUAUACUGUACAGUAUCUAUGCGUAAGGGAAAUAACUUAAACAAAAUUUUUAAUGUAUAGUGUAAUUAAGAGUUUAGCUGUUUAAUACAGAGAUGCAAUUUAUUUAUAUAUAUUAUUUAUAUAUAAACGUAUGUAUGUUUAUUAAAAAGUGAAAAUGCUUAAUGGAAAUAAUUAAAUAACUAAAUGGUUGAAUGUAAUGAGACAUUUUAAAUGUAAACUAAAGUUUUGCUGUCUAAUACAGAAUAAAGAGAUGUGAUUUUAAGUAA